rnacentral:rRNA from 1 species
AUGCUGGGGUGGAGGAGCAGGGAUAGUUUGGAGGCCGGUGGUGGAGGGAAGGAGUCGCCGGGUGGAGGAGAGGUUGGUGCCAGGUCCAAGGAGCAGCGGGGGCAGAGCACCAGGAGGCGCUCCCGUUGCGAUGGGUGGAGCUACAGAGGAGGGGAGGAGGAGGAUGCCGGGCUCAGCCACGAAGACGGCUCGGUCAGGUCGCGACGCCCCAUCCGCCACUUCUGUUGGGCGUCGUCCCCUUUUUCCUCGGAAUCAAAUAGACCAGAUCAAUACUUGCCAGGGUGGAAUCUGCUGCUGCUGCACUGGUUGGUAAUCUGA